UGCACUCUGCUGGUCCCUCGAGACUGGCCUUGUCCUUCAGGGGUCUGACUGACCCUCAUCUUUCUGAUUUAGGUCGCACAAUCUCCUCAGGAGGUGGAGGUCCCUUCAGGGCAUUUCCUAAAUCUCUGAGCCUGGAUCUUGGCGGUCGUGGCUCCGCACACAGUGUCCUGAGCCCUUCGGCUCCGCCCCGUGUCUCUCAGGAUAGGUAUUGCUGCCCGUUGUCUCAGCUUGACAAGGCCUUUUCCAACAGCACACCUGCCACAGUCGUUUCCACAGCUCCCUCUAGUGGCCCACCACAAUACAGCACCCUGUUUGGCAACAGGCUCUCUUCUAGUUCCACACCGGCAAGGUAAGAUGCUAUAGGUUGUACAAAUUGAUUGGACAGCAUUUCCUGAACCAAAUGUUACUCUUACUCAAUCAUGAAAGCACCAGGUUGACUACAGUAAUCACUCAUGGUGAACAUAAACAAAAUCAGGAAUAUACCAGCAUGAGAGAUUCUCUUUACUGCAGUAUUUUCAUGAUUUCAAAUCCAUUAAAAUCAGUGAUGCUCCCUUGUCCUCUCCUAGCUCCCCAGGUGUUCCAGAGGUCACUUCUGCUUCUCAGACAUUUGCAAAUUUUCCCAAUCCAUUCAGCUCUGCAGCCAGUACCUCUCAGCCUGCUCUAUCACCAAGUAAUCCAUUCAACAGUACAGCCAAAAGUAAGCCAGAUCCCAGAGGUUUCUGAAUCACGCUGUUAUCCAGUCCUUGUAAUGGGUCAACAUU
ensembl:lncRNA